rnacentral:rRNA from 1 species
CUACGGGCGGCACCAGUGGGGAAUAUUGCACAAUGGGCGCAAGCCUGAUGCAGCAACGCCGCGUAAGGGAUGAAGGCCUUCGGGUUGUAAACCUCUUUUAGCAGGGAAGAAGCGAAAGUGACGGUACCUGCAGAAAAAGCACCGGCUAACUACGUGCCAGCAGCCGCGGUAAUACGUAGGGUGCAAGCGUUGUCCGGAAUUAUUGGGCGUAAAGAGCUCGUAGGCGGUUUGUCACGUCUGCUGUGAAAAUCCAAGGCUCAACCUUGGACUUGCAGUGGGUACGGGCAGGCUAGAGUGCGGUAGGGGAGAUGGGAAUUCCUGGUGUAGCGGUGGAAUGCGCAGAUAUCAGGAGGAACACCAAUGGCGAAGGCACAUCUCUGGGCCGUAACUGACGCUGAGGAGCGAAAGCGUGGGGAGCGAACAGGAUUAGAUACCCGCGUAGUC